AGUGAACGCUGGCGGUAGGCCUAACACAUGCAAGUCGAACGGCAGCACAGUACGAGCUUGCUCUUACGGGUGGCGAGUGGCGGGCGGGUGAGGAAUACAUCGUGAUCUACUUUUUCGUGUGGAUACCGUAGAGUAACGUACGCUAAUACCACAUACGCCCGACGGGUGAAAGCAGGUGAUCUUUGGACCUGGCGCGAGUUGAUGUGCCGAGGUCGGAUUAGCUAGUUGGCGGGGUAAAGGCCCACCAAGUUGACGAUCCGUAGGUGGUCGGAGAGGACGAUCAGCCACACUGGAACGGAGACACCGUCAAUACGACUAAGGGACGCAGCAGUGGGGAAUAGUGGGCAAUGGGGGCAAGCCUGAUCCAGUCAUACCGCGUCGGUGGAGAAGGCCUUCGGGUUGUAAAGACCUUUUGUUGGGAAAGAAAAGCAGCAGGUUAAUACCCCGCUGUUCUGACGGUACCCAAAGAAUAAGCACCGGCUAACUUCGUG
rnacentral:rRNA from 1 species